rnacentral:sRNA from 1 species
CCAGUUGUGAUGCCACCGAGCUGGGUGAGGGUUCGCCCAUAAGGUCAGAACACCGCAAAAUUGCUCUUCUCAAUGCUAACUGCUGCUCCCACUCCAGGGAACAGACGGAAAGAGCGAGGAGAGUAUACUUUUUGGCAAUCAGCGAACCUUUGAGGUUGAUAAGACGCAGUUCUUGCCUCAUUGGAUGAUUACUCGCUGAUGGGAUAGGGUUCUUGCAGCUUUCUUCGACACAUAUACAUUUCAGCACUCUAAUUCUCGGUGGAUUUGCGGAACCAGUGGCAUGUCCGUUUGCAUGUGUUCCAGAUCUACAAAGCUCCGGAACAGAGAGUCACUUUUUUUUUUUUUUUUUUUUUUUUUUAACACAUUCUCCGCAGCAGGGACCCAUCUAUGACCGGUCCCUAUGCAUUCGAGCAACCUCGGGCUACCGCAUUGAAAGCUUCAAUUAACCCGUACGUCAUGAUCCCACAAGGCUGCUGAGCACCCUAUAUUGCGUUGCGGAGCCUGUUUCGGCAAUGCGCAUAAAGGACUCCCUUGUGAAAAACGGCUGUUACGAAACAAUAUGGUUCGUAUUGGGAACGGACUGAUGAC